rnacentral:misc_RNA from 1 species
CUCCAUCUCCUGAACCUCCCCGUUGAAGUGAUGGGCUAAUUCCACACCCAUAAGGCUAAUUUUUGCGUAGAUAAUCACUCUUUGUUGUCUGGUUUGGCAAAGAGCUGCGCUAGUUGAGCGAUUAAACUAGCUUAAACGUUUGAGGCUUGAGUUCGAACUAAGGUACUGGAGAAAGGCGGCUGGCUCUUCUUCUUCUUGCGGAGGUUGUAGGCCGCACCGCGAAGAAGAAUAGCAAACGAGGGUUUUGAGGAACG